rnacentral:rRNA from 1 species
GGAAACCGGAGCUAAUACCGGAUAACAUAUUGAACCGCAUGGUUCAAUAGUGAAAGGCGGCUUUGCUGUCACUUAUAGAUGGAUCCGCGCCGUAUUAGCUAGUUGGUAAGGUAACGGCUUACCAAGGCAACGAUACGUAGCCGACCUGAGAGGGUGAUCGGCCACACUGGAACUGAGACACGGUCCAGACUCCUACGGGAGGCAGCAGUAGGGAAUCUUCCGCAAUGGGCGAAAGCCUGACGGAGCAACGCCGCGUGAGUGAUGAAGGUCUUCGGAUCGUAAAACUCUGUUAUCAGGGAAGAACAAAUGUGUAAGUAACUGUGCACAUCUUGACGGUACCUGAUCAGAAAGCCACGGCUAACUACGUGCCAGCAGCCGCGGUAAUACGUAGGUGGCAAGCGUUAUCCGGAAUUAUUGGGCGUAAAGCGCGCGUAGGCGGUUUUUUAAGUCUGAUGUGAAAGCCCACGGCUCAACCGUGGAGGGUCAUUGGAAACUGGAAAACUUGAGUGCAGAAGAGGAAAGUGGAAUUCCAUGUGUAGCGGUGAAAUGCGCAGAGAUAUGGAGGAACACCAGUGGCGAAGGCGACUUUCUGGUCUGUAACUGACGCUGAUGUGCGAAAGCGUGGGGAUCAAACAGGAUUAGAUACCCUGGUAGUCCACGCCGUAAACGAUGAGUGCUAAGUGUUAGGGGG